rnacentral:rRNA from 1 species
GAUGAACGCUAGCUACAGGCUUAACACAUGCAAGUCGAGGGGAAACGACAUCGAAAGCUUGCUUUUGAUGGGCGUCGACCGGCGCACGGGUGAGUAACGCGUAUCCAACCUGCCCAUCACUUGGGAAUAACCUUGCGAAAGUAAGACUAAUACCCAAUGAUAUCCAUAGAAGACAUCUGAAAUGGAUUAAAGAUUUAUCGGUGAUGGAUGGGGAUGCGUCUGAUUAGCUUGUUGGCGGGGUAACGGCCCACCAAGGCGACGAUCAGUAGGGGUUCUGAGAGGAAGGUCCCCCCACAUUGGAACUGAGACACGGUCCAAACUCCUACGGGAGGCAGCAGUGAGGAAUAUUGGGUCAAUGGACGAGAGUCUGAACCAGCCAAGUAGCGUGCAGGACGACGGCCCUAUGGGUUGUAAACUGCUUUUAUAAGGGAAUAAAGUGAGCUACGUGUAGCUUUUUGCAUGUACCUUAUGAAUAAGG